CCUGCUCAAUGUAUUUAAAUAGCCGCUCUAAGUGCUAAGGUAGCAUAAUAAAUUGCUCUUUAAUUAAGAGAUAGAAUGAAAGGAACCGCGAUUUAUUAAUUAUAUCUGACUACAUUCACUAAAUUAAUUAAUAUGUAAAAAUUCAAUUCCAAAUUAGAAGGACGACAAGACCCUAUCGAACUUCACUCAAAGUUAAACUGGGAAGGUUAAAAACCAUGUCUUUUACCCUUUCUUAAUACACGUAAAAAAUUAAAUUAAAAUAAGUUACCUUAGGGAUAACAGCAUAAUAAUUUACUAAAGCCCACAUAAAAUAAAUUGAUUAUGACCUCGAUGUUGAAUUAAUAAACCUAUUUUUAGAAAAAAAAACAAAAGGAAGUCUGUUCGACUUUUAUAACAUUACAU
rnacentral:rRNA from 1 species